ensembl:lncRNA
AUGUGAUGUCCAUCCUCAGAAUAAAAGAUUUUCACAGCUUUUUGAAGAAUCUACUAUCAAAAGAAAACAGGUAUCAGGAAGAAUUAGAAGUAAAUCCUCUCGUCACAAACUCACCUGCAUCACCAUCUGUUUUGAAGAAAAAUCUCUCCUGAGAAAAAAGAGAUGGAGCUCCGAUAGUCUGAAUCAUCUCUGUACUCUACCUACCACCGAGCAACACCGGCUCAGUAAACUGCUAAACAUUUGUUCUGAGAAAGCAAGAAGCAAGAGGAGCAUCGCACAACCAGAACUGCUGGAAUCACUUGUGGGCAAC